AUUGAACGCUGGCGGCAUGCCUUACACAUGCAAGUCGAACGGCAGCACGGGUGCUUGCACCUGGUGGCGAGUGGCGAACGGGUGAGUAAUACAUCGGAACGUACCUUAUCGUGGGGGAUAACGCAGCGAAAGCUGUGCUAAUACCGCAUACGCCCUGAGGGGGAAAGCGGGGGAUCGAAAGACCUCGCGCGAUUAGAGCGGCCGAUGCCUGAUUAGCUUGUUGGUGGGGUAAAAGCCCACCAAGGCGACGAUCAGUAGCUGGUCUGAGAGGACGAUCAGCCACACGGGGACUGAGACACGGCCCAGACUCCUACGGGAGGCAGCAGUGGGGAAUUUUGGACAAUGGGGGCAACCCUGAUCCAGCAACGCCGCGUGAGUGAAGAAGGCCUUCGGGUUGUAAAGCUCUUUUGUCAGGGAAGAAACACCGGCUCUAACACAGUCCGGGAAUGACGGUACCUGAAGAAUAAGCACCGGCUAACUACGUGCCAGCCGCCGCGGUAA
rnacentral:rRNA from 1 species